AUUCCCGGGAGUCAUCUUGGUCUCCAGAGGCCCAGUCGCUUCGUAAGUGAUCAGACUCUCUAAUAAAGUUGGUGACACCUAACAGGAAGAUGCACGAGGGAAGAGGUGAAUAGGCAGGGCCUGCUGGCAUCUGAGAGGACAAAAUGGACGCCGGAGGAAAAAGCCAGGGCAAGGACAACGGAGGAGAAGGCAGCAGCAGAAUGGCGAAGAGCUGUGGAGAGACGCCUGUUGCAGGUUUUGCUGCUGAGAGCAGCAGUUAGUUAGUGCGGCCACUUGAGUCACAGCUUGUUGAUCCUGAGGAGGCAAAACUAGAAAGUGAGGUUCAGAAAGGAGGCCCUGUGCACGAGGAGGAGGAGGGCAUGAAGCAGUGCCAGUUGCCCACAGCCACAUCUGCAGAACAGCAAGUACCAUGGUUUAGCUUUGAGAAAGCUUGUACAUUUGUGAGCCAGAGUGGGAAAAAUGUUGUUGUACGAUGCAAUUACUGCCUUCCAAGGAUCAAAAAUCUGAGAUCAGCUGUUUCCUCCUCAUCCAAUGUGAAGAAACAUUUUGAGAGGGCACACCCUGAGAAGCUGAGAGCAACUGAAGAAGCAAUAAAGGCAAGGAGACGUGGCCUUCCUGAACCAAUGCAUGACACCCCUCCUCCCAAAAUGCUGAAGCAGCAGCAGACAACCCUUGAGAGGUGGGGAUCUGGCAGGGAGCCUGUCACCCAGAGCAAUCUCGACAGGAGAAUCAUUGAUUUCAUUGUAGAGGAGACAUUACCACUUCAGACUGUGGACAAACCAUCAUUCAUUAAUCUGGUUCGCAUUGGACUCCCCAAAGAUCUCACCAUCAUAUGUGCCAGACUCUGACAGACAGAAUUGAGAAGAGAGCAUGCCACAUGAGAGAAACUCUUGCAAACCGAAUGGGUGCUGUGGCAUAUAUAGCAACCACUGCAGAUUGUUGGACCAAUGGCAAGAAGAGUUACUUUGGGGUAACAGCCCACUGGAUCAACCCAACUACCCUGAAACAUGAGGUCGGGGCCUUGGCUUGUAAGCGUCUGAAGGGGCGCCAUACAUACGAUGUCCUUUCAAAAGCACUGCAUGAUGUACAUGUGCAGUACAGGAUCCACAACAAAGUUAUGUGCACUACUACAGACAAUGGCUCCAACUUUGUGAAAGCGUUCAGAGUUUU